AUGAAGCCAACCAAGUCAGUGAGAUCCAAAGUCGGGGAGUCUCUGCCUGCUACCUUGAGCACUGAUUUCAACAACCAGGUUGGGGGGCAGAAACCUUUUGCUGGGACAUGCAACAGUAACAGAUCUAGCGAUCUAGCAAACGAGAUAGAUGAUCUUGUGCUGCAACCAAGGUAUGAUGGCGUGAAUGGGCCAAAGAUGGUCUAA
rnacentral:rRNA from 1 species